rnacentral:lncRNA from 1 species
AACUUUAUGAUACGAUGGCGAUGCCUUUUCGUGAUAUUGCUAAUAUUUGGCUGCACAAUCGCUCAGAGGCUAAGCAAGAUAAUCUUAACACUGGCCAAUCAAAUUGAAGCUUCGCUCGUGCUCAACCUAAUCUAACCUCAGACUUAACACACCUGUGGCAUUUGGCAUUCUCGAACCUAGCCGUCAAAUGUAGGUCUCCGUUCAAGACAACAAGCCACUUAUUUGAUUAGUAGACAUGAUUCACUU